AUUGAACGCUGGCGGCAGGCCUAACACAUGCAAGUCGAGCGGUUGAGGUAGCUUGCUACCGAUACAGCGGCGGACGGGUGAGUAAUACAUGGGAAUCUGCCUGGUAGUGGGGGACAACGUUUCGAAAGGAACGCUAAUACCGCAUACGCCCAACGGGGGAAAGGGGGGGAUCUGCGGACCUCUCGCUAUCAGAUGAGCCCAUGUCAGAUUAGCUUGUUGGUGAGGUAAAGGCUCACCAAGGCGACGAUCUGUAACUGGUCUGAGAGGAUGAUCAGUCACACUGGAACUGAGACACGGUCCAGACUCCUACGGGAGGCAGCAGUGGGGAAUAUUGGACAAUGGGCGCAAGCCUGAUCCAGCCAUGCCGCGUGUGUGAAGAAGGCCUUAGGGUUGUAAAGCACUUUCAGUGGGGAGAAAGGCCUUUUACUUAAUACGUAAGAGGAUUGAUGUUACCCACAGAAGAAGCACCGGCUAACUCCGUGCCAGCCGCCGCGGUAA
rnacentral:rRNA from 1 species